GGGAUGUGGGAGGUCAGAGGAUAAUUCGUGGAAAUCAGCUCCUUCCUUCCCAUGAUGUGGAUCCUGGGGAUCAAAGUCAAGCCUGAGGCGUGAGGACAAGAGCCUGUACACACUGAGCCAUCCCACUGGAGCAGGAGCUGGCUGUGUCAGACUUGGCUCAUCUCACCCAAACUUUGCCCGAGAUGCUCAGUCGACCUGGCGUCCAGAGCUGGCUGCAGCCGUGGAAGAUGACCCGCCUGAGUCAAGGAAUCUAGAAUCCGUCCAGCAGCGAAGGGACUUUUGCUCUUCUCACCCUUGGAGAGACAGGAGUUGGAGAAUGUUGGCCUCCAGGCAGAACACUGUUAACGGGCUUCAUCGGGGCAGCUGGGAGUCCUCCCAAGACAUUCUCAAGCUCUCUUCCAUCUGUGUGCAGUUCUGCCCAGGGAGAAUUGGUCUGGCGGGCCUGGGCAGUGAUGGAGCGUGUGGAUGGUCAGCUGAAGGAGGGCUCUGUCUGCGUCGAUGUCUCGACUGAGACUUUCUGGAACUAUGGGUGCUUGGCAGCCACCCACACCCCUCAACAUCUGGCAGCUACUAAACAUUUCAUGCCGGAAUUUGAUUUGUCUGUUCUUCCAGAGGUCCUGAGUUCAAUUCCCACAUGGUGGCUCCCAACCAUCUAUACUGGGAUCUGAUGCCCUCUUCUGGCCUGCAGGUAUACAUGCAGGCAGAAC